ACACCGCUCUGUGCUGAGGGGCAUAUUGAGUUCAUGUUAUACCGUAAUGGGAGCUGGGAUCCUGCUCUGACAGCAGUCAGUAUUGCCGGCGUGUGAGAAUCACCACACCCAGAGGAAGUCGACUUGGACUGAAAUCAGGGUCGGCUCAGUCAUCACCUAUAAGCUCCCAGGGUUUCCUGAGGGAGAAUGUGCAGAGGCAAGUAAAAGAAAGUCUUCACCAGCAAGGACGAGUUCACUUGGCUGCACACGUUUUCAGCUUGAGACCAGAGUCGUUCCAGGUCCUGUGGGAACUGCUGGAAGGGCUGCGAUGAAGUGACGGUGGCGGGACAUCUGCCCGGGGCGUGGCCGUGCCGUCAGAUGGAGGAGACCCAGCGAGCAUGGAUGAAAAUCAAAGGGUGUUCUUCAGCUCCAGCAACAUCCACUCCCCAGUCAGUGCUUGUGGGUUUCCUGGGGCUGCUAUCUUGUGAAUACAUGCAUCACAGGACAAAGGGAC